rnacentral:rRNA from 1 species
CCUACGGGUGGCAGCAGUGAGGAAUAUUGGUCAAUGGACGAGAGUCUGAACCAGCCAAGUAGCGUGAAGGAUGACUGCCCUAUGGGUUGUAAACUUCUUUUAUAUGGGAAUAAAAUGUUCCACGUGUGGGAUUUUGUAUGUACCAUAUGAAUAAGGAUCGGCUAACUCCGUGCCAGCAGCCGCGGUAAUACGGAGGAUCCGAGCGUUAUCCGGAUUUAUUGGGUUUAAAGGGAGCGUAGGUGGAGUUUUAAGUCAGUUGUGAAAGUUUGCGGCUCAACCGUAAAAUUGCAGUUGAAACUGGCAGUCUUGAGUACAGUAGAGGUGGGCGGAAUUCGUGGUGUAGCGGUGAAAUGCUUAGAUAUCACGAAGAACUCCGAUUGCGAAGGCAGCUCACUGGACUGCAACUGACGCUCAUGCACGAAAGUGUGGGUAUCGAACAGGAUUAGAUACCCGGGUAGUC